GAUGAACGCUGGCGGCGUGCCUAAUACAUGCAAGUCGAGCGAACAGACGAGGAGCUUGCUUCUCUGACGUUAGCGGCGGACGGGUGAGUAACACGUGGAUAACCUACCUAUAAGACUGGGAUAACUUCGGGAAACCGGAGCUAAUACCGGAUAAUAUAUUGAACCGCAUGGUUCAAGAGUGAAAGACGGUUUUGCUGUCACUUAUAGAUGGAUCCGCGCCGCAUUAGCUAGUUGGUAAGGUAACGGCUUACCAAGGCAACGAUGCGUAGCCGACCUGAGAGGGUGAUCGGCCACACUGGAACUGAGACACGGUCCAGACUCCUACGGGAGGCAGCAGUAGGGAAUCUUCCGCAAUGGGCGAAAGCCUGACGGAGCAACGCCGCGUGAGUGAUGAAGGUCUUCGGAUCGUAAAACUCUGUUAUUAGGGAAGAACAAAUGUGUAAGUAACUGUGCACAUCUUGACGGUACCUAAUCAGAAAGCCACGGCUAACUACGUG
rnacentral:rRNA from 1 species